UACGGGGGGGGCAAGCGUUGUUCGGAAUUACUGGGCGUAAAGGGCUCGUAGGCGGCCAACUAAGUCAGACGUGAAAUCCCCAGGCUCAACCUGGGAACUGCGUCUGAUACUGGAUGGCUUGAAUCCGGGAGAGGGAUGCAGAAUUCCAGGUGUAGCGGUGAAAUGCGUAGAUAUCUGGAGGAAUACCGGUGGCGAAGGCGGCGUCCUGGACCGGCAUUGACGCUGAGGAGCGAAAGCCAGGGGAGCAAACGGG
rnacentral:rRNA from 1 species